rnacentral:lncRNA from 1 species
AACAUAAACAUGGUAUAUAUGAAUUAGCCUAUACACUGUGAAGACAAAUACGGGAUGAGAUGACACAACAUCAGACGAAAAGCACGCAGCCAUUUUCCCGGCUAGAUGCCACUGCACAAUCAGAGCACAACACAGAACUCAGAAACCGAACGCAACAACAAAUCCACAUCAUAUAUAGCCAUCGAGGAUGAUUUCUUCUGCAA